AUUGAACGCUGGCGGCAUGCUUUACACAUGCAAGUCGAGCGGUAACAGGCCUUCGGGUGCUGACGAGUGGCGGACGGGUGAGUAAUGCAUCGGAACGUACCCAGAGGUGGGGGAUAACGCAGCGAAAGCUGUGCUAAUACCGCAUGUGAUCUGAGGAUGAAAGCGGGGGACAGAGCAGCAAUGUUUGGCCUCGCGCCUUUGGAGCGGCCGAUGUCGGAUUAGCUAGUUGGUGGGGUAAAGGCCUACCAAGGCGACGAUCCGUAGCUGGUCUGAGAGGACGACCAGCCACACUGGGACUGAGACACGGCCCAGACUCCUACGGGAGGCAGCAGUGGGGAAUUUUGGACAAUGGGCGCAAGCCUGAUCCAGCAAUGCCGCGUGCGUGAAGAAGGCCUUCGGGUUGUAAACCGCUUUUGGCAGGAACGAAACGGUGUCCGCUAAUACCGGGCGCUAAUGACGGUACCUGCAGAAUAAGCACCGGCUAACUACGUG
rnacentral:rRNA from 1 species